GUGUCAGCAGCCGCGGUAAUACGUAGGUGACGAGCGUUAUCCGGAUUUACUGGGCGUAAAGCGCUUGUAGGUGGCUUUGUAAGUUGGGCGUGAAAACUCUGGGCUUAACCCAGAGACGCCGUCCAAUACUGCGAGGCUCGAGGAUGUCAGAGGAAGGUGGAAUUCCUGGUGUAGUGGUGAAAUGCGUAGAUAUCAGGAGGAACACCCGUGGCGAAGGCGGCCUUCUGGGGCAUUCCUGACACUGAGAAGCGAAAGCUAGGGGAGCAAACAGGAUUAGAAACCCUGGUAGUCC
rnacentral:rRNA from 1 species